rnacentral:rRNA from 1 species
UACGAAGGGGACUAGCGUUGUUCGGAAUUACUGGGCGUAAAGCGCACGUAGGCGGAUUUGUUAGUCAGGGGUGAAAUCCCGGGGCUCGACCUCGGAACUGCCUUUGAUACUGCAAAUCUCGAGUCCGAUAGAGGUGGGUGGAAUUCCUAGUGUAGAGGUGAAAUUCGUAGAUAUUAGGAAGAACACCGGUGGCGAAGGCGGCCCACUGGAUCGGUACUGACGCUGAGGUGCGAAAGCGUGGGGAGCAAACAGG